rnacentral:lncRNA from 1 species
CGCGGCGGCCCGCGCCCUUCGAAGUGGUCUUCGUGUCAGCCGACGGCAGCUCCCAGGAGAUGCUGGACUUCAUGCGCGAGCUGCAUGGCGCCUGGCUGGCGCUGCCCUUCCACGACCCCUACCGGCACCAUUGCUGUGAAUUACGUGAGGGAAAGAUAUUGAAGAGGAGUUGGACACUCCGAGAGUGCAGCUGUUCUCCCCCCGCACCAUCCGUGUCCUGCAUUCUGCGAGUCUGUGCUCAUUAACAAUGUGCUGUGACCAUGUGACUCAGCAAUCCUGCUGCUGGGUAUAUACCCGAAAGAAAGGAAAAGGAAGCCAGUAUAUUGAAGAGGUAUCUGCACCCCCAUGUUUAUUGCAGCACUGUUCACAACAGCCAAGAUUUGGAAGCAACCUAAGUGUCCAUCAACAGAUGAAUGGAUAAAGAAAACGUGGUACAUAUACACAAUGGAGUACUCUUCAGCCAUUAAAAAAAUGAGAUUCUGUCAUUUGCAAUAAUAUAGAUGGAAAAGGAGGCCCUUAUGUGAAGUGAAAUAAGCCAGGCACAGAAAGACAAACAUCACAUGUUCUCACUUAUUUGUGGGAUCUAAUGAUCAAAACAAUUGAACUCUUGGACAUAGAGAGUAGAAGGUUGGUUACCAGAAGCUGGAAAGGAAAGUGGGGUUGGGAGGAAGGUGGGAAUGGUUAAUAGGUACAAAAAAAUACAAAGAAUAAAUAAGACCUAAUAUUUGAUAGCACAACAGUGUGACUACUGUCAAUAAUCAUUUAAUUGUACAUUUAAAAAUAACUAUAAUUGCAUUGUUUGUAACACAAAAGAUAAAUGCUUGAGGGGAUGAAUACUCCGAUUCUUCAUUAUGUGAUUAUUAUGCAUUGCAUGCCUGUAUCAAAACAUCUCAUGUACCCCAUAAAUAUACACACCUACUAUGUACCCACAAAAAUUAAAAAUAAAAAAAU